rnacentral:rRNA from 1 species
GAUGAACGCUGGCGGCGUGCCUAAUACAUGCAAGUCGAGCGAACAGACGAGGAGCUUGCUCCUCUGACGUUAGCGGCGGACGGGUGAGUAACACGUGGAUACCCUACCUAUAAGACUGGGAUAACUUCGGGAAACCGGCGCUAAUACCGGAUAAUAUAUUGAACCGCAUGGUUCAAUAGUGAAAGACGGUUUUGCUGUCACUUAUAGAUGGAUCCGCGCCGCAUUAGCUAGUUGGUAAGGUAACGGCUUACCAAGGCGACGAUGCGUAGCCGACCUGAGAGAGGGAUAGGCCACACUGGAACUUGGACACGGUCCAGACGCCUACGGGAGGCAGCAGUAGGGAAUCUUCCGCAAAGGGCGAAAGCCUGACGGAGCAACGCCGCGUGAGUGAUGAAGGUCUUCGGAUCGUAAAACUCGGUUAUUAGGGAAGAACAAAUGUGUAAGUAACUAUGGACGGCGUGACGGUACCUAAUCAGAAAGCAACGGCUAACUACGUG